UGGGGAAUAUUGCACAAUGGGCGCAAGCCUGAUGCAGCCAUGCCGCGUGUGUGAAGAAGGCCUUCGGGUUGUAAAGCACUUUCAGCGAGGAGGAAGGUGGUGAACUUAAUACGUUCAUCAAUUGACGUUACUCGCAGAAGAAGCACCGGCUAACUCCGUGCCAGCAGCCGCGGUAAUACGGAGGGUGCAAGCGUUAAUCGGAAUUACUGGGCGUAAAGCGCACGCAGGCGGUUUGUUAAGUCAGNUGUGAAAUCCCCGGGCUCAACCUGGGAACUGCAUUUGAAACUGGCAAGCUAGAGUCUCGUAGAGGGGGGUAGAAUUCCAGGUGUAGCGGUGAAAUGCGUAGAGAUCUGGAGGAAUACCGGUGGCGAAGGCGGCCCCCUGGACGAAGACUGACGCUCAGGUGCGAAAAGCGUGGGGAGCAAACAGGAUUAGA
rnacentral:rRNA from 1 species